rnacentral:lncRNA from 1 species
GCUUCAUACAUGAGAAAUAUUUCUUUUGAUCAGAGUAGUUUGCAAGUGCGUGGGUCAAAUUUAAGCAUCGAGUUUUUAACGAGUGGCUCCUGUGUGUGAAGUGCUACAUGAGCUAGCUCUGGGGUAGACAGGCAGAACAGGGCACCAAACAUUAAAAUGGGCACGGGAAAGAUGUUUAAUGAUGGUUCAAGGUGGACACUAGGAGGAGCAUGAGAAAGCAGCACACGCAGGUUGCCCUCACUUAGUGUCUGCUGAGCACAGCCUUCAAGUCGUGGGAGACGGGUGUCCUGAGGCCUGAUGGCCUGUGUGCAGCCCCCAGCAUGUUCAGGAGCUCAGAUGAAGAAGGGAAAAGAGAUUUGAUUUCUGUGCCUAUUAACCACGCCAAUAGAAGGUUGUGUGAAAAAUGAAGCUAUUGGUAGAAGUUAGGAAAAAAAUCUAGUUAUAAGACCAGCAGAAGACCUGAACUUCAGAGAAGACCACAAAUGAAUUGAAUUAAAAGCACAGUUCUCUUUUCAAAAGCUAACACGAAAUGAGGAUGGGUUUUGUACAAAAGCAGCUGCUCCUGCCAGUGGGCUUAUGCAUGUCCUUCUUUCAUAUGCCACAGUCAGACCUAGGAAAUUCCCUGGGAAGUCCCCUCUACCACAGUGCUUGCAGUUUCUCCAUUUGACUAUGAUUCUGUUGGAUCUUGGGAGAUUGAUCUUCAGGAAGCUGUUAUCACAAAACAGCUCUUCCUGGAGUGAGGAGAGAGCAUGGUACCUGGGAAGACAAAGGGAGUGGACUGGGACGCGGAAAUCUGGUUCCCAUUUUAGUUCUACAACUAGUAGCCUGGUGGCUUUAGGAGAAGCCUGCCAUUUCCCUGGCCUCAAUGGUUUCGUCUGUAAAUUGGAACGGCCUGGAGAUGAUAAAAGUGAAAGCAUCUAUCACCAUGCCUGGAAGUGUUCAAGAAAUGAUUCUUUCCUGCCUGCUGACUUCCAUUUUCCAUCUGUAAGAUCCAGAAAUUCAGAUUCCCUGGGGAUGGAACCUCUUUAGCUUCAGGGUUUUAUAAUAAUAAAAUUUAUUUAUUUUAAUGGCAACCCACUCCAGUAUUCUUGCCUGGAAAAUUCUAUGGACUGAGGAGCCUGGUUUGUUACAGUACAUGGGGUCACAAAGAGCUGAACAUGUCUGAACAACUAACACUUUCACACUUUAUUUAUUUAUUUUUAAUUGAAGGAUAAUUGCUUUACAAUAUUGUUUUGAUUUCAGGUUUUGAAAGGAUUUGAGUUGUUAGCUCCCCCA